rnacentral:rRNA from 1 species
GAUGAACGCUGGCGGCGUGCCUAAUACAUGCAAGUCGAGCGAACGGACGAGAAGCUUGCUUCUCUGAUGUUAGCGGCGGACGGGUAAGUAACACGUGGAUAACCUACCUAUAAGACUGGGAUAACUUCGGGAAACCGGAGCUAAUACCGGAUAAUAUUUUGAACCGCAUGGUUCAAAAGUGAAAGACGGUCUUGCUGUCACUUAUAGAUGGAUCCGCGCUGCAUUAGCUAGUUGGUAAGGUAACGGCUUACCAAGGCGACGAUGCAUAGCCGACCUGAGAGGGUGAUCGGCCACACUGGAACUGAGACACGGUCCAGACUCCUACGGGAGGCAGCAGUAGGGAAUCUUCCGCAAUGGGCGAAAGCCUGACGGAGCAACGCCGCGUGAGUGAUGAAGGUCUUCGGAUCGUAAAACUCUGUUAUUAGGGAAGAACAUAUGUGUAAGUAACUGUGCACAUCUUGACGGUACCUAAUCAGAAAGCCACGGCUAACUACGUG